rnacentral:RNase_P_RNA from 1 species
AGAGGGCCGGGUGAUCGCGGUUCCGGGGACGGCCCGUCACGGGACACGCCCGGGAUCGAGGAAAGUCCGGACUCCACAGGGCAUGGUGGUUGCUAACGGCAACCCGGGGCGACCCGCGGGCCAGUGCCACAGAAAACAGACCGCCCGUCCCACCGUGGACGGGUAAGGGUGAAACGGUGCGGUAAGAGCGCACCAGUGCGCCGGGUGACCGGCGCAGCUUGGUAAACCCCACCAGGAGCAAGGUCAAGUGGCUUCACCGGCGACGGUGUGGCCGUGUCCCAUCGGCGGCCCGUCGGACAAGGGACAGGUAGACCGCGUGAGGCGGCCGGUGACGGUCGACCCAGAUGGAUGAUCACCUCGCCGGACCGGGGAUUUCCCGUCCGGUAGGACAGAAUCCGGCUCACAGGCUCUCUCGA